AGUUGUUUAGAAAUACACAGGUAUACACGGUGCAAGAUAGUUGGGUCCAGUCGUCUUCCACUACAGUCCAAACCCAGUGGUCUUCUAUCGCCAAGGGAAAUCGUCACAACGUUUUCAAAUCGAUAGUGAUACAAGGCGUCAAUCCGCACCAGAAGUCGUUCAACCAUCUGUUGACAAGCAAAGUCCUGUGUAUGACCGAACGAUGUACAAAAAAAAAACAGGAAAAAACAGAUUGCUCAAUCUUGUUUGUCACGUAUUAAGUUUCAAUUCUAUUUCUGAUUGACCUAGUUUUGCAGCACUCCACACCGCCACGGCGUUCAAUAUUCAUCCUGGCCUGGCACAUCACGUAUCGCGAUUAUGCAAGCAUCAAAAUACCGCGAGCGCAUUGCAUUAGAGCUUAAUCCGUUAGUGUUAGCGUUCCUUCCCCUGCUGCUGAGUUGCAGACAUUAAAUCGAAAUUCAAGCGACGAAACGCAGCCCGCCAAAUUUCAACUCUCAAAGAUACACAAUGUUUUGACUAAACUAGCCAAUUUUGGCAUACAUUUCCAUUGCAGUUUGGAAAUUUGCAAUUGGAUCAGUUCCACUUAAAGCUGGCCAGCCAAGCAUAGCUUAAAUGUCAACAACUCGAGCCCGGACAUGUCAACGCACGGUUUGGCAUUCGAGUUACGUAGAAUUUGCGUUUUCCGCAGACGCGCGGUGGAAAAUGAUUCCAGGAAGGUUCAGUGCAAGGAAGUGUGUCUGCAUAGCGCGGAAUUCUAGGAAGGAUUGGGUUACAAUAACGAGGAAAUUACGAUGCACGUAGUGGGUUUUGGUUCAAAUUUUACUAUAAUCUGGACAGGUGCGAAUAGCAAAACUCAUAUCA